CAGAGGGUGCGAGCGUUAAUCGGAAUUACUGGGCGUAAAGCGUGCGUAGAUGGUUAUGUAAGUCGGAUGUGAAAGCCCAGGGCUCAACCUUGGAAUUGCAUUCGAGACUGCAUAGCUAGGAUGCGGAAGAGGGAAGCGGAAUUUCCGGUGUAGCGGUGAAAUGCGUAGAUAUCGGAAGGAACACCAGUGGCGAAAGCGGCUUCCUGGUCCAGCAUCGACGUUCAGGCACGAAAGCGUGGGGAGCAAACAGGAUUAGAUACCCUGGUAGUCCACGCCAUAAACGAUGACAACUAGACGUUGAGAGGGUAAGCCUCCCAGUGUCGCAGCUAACGCGUUAAGUUGUCCGCCUGGGGAGUACGGCCGCAAGGUUG
rnacentral:rRNA from 1 species